rnacentral:misc_RNA from 1 species
UCGAGCGUCAUUACAACCCUCAAGCAUUGCUUGGUAUUAGGCUCCGCCGCUCACCCGGCGGGCCAUAAAACCAGUGGCGGUGCCGUCGAGGCCCUGAGCGCAGUAAAUUUCCUCGCUAUAGGGACCCGGCGGACGCUGGCCAUCAACCCCCACUUUCUAAGUUUGACCUCGGAUCAGGUAGGGAUACCCGCUGAACUUAA